rfam:Schistosoma mattheei strain Denwood, Zambia genome assembly, scaffold: SMTD_contig0013019
AUCCAGCUGACGAGACCUGAAUAGGACGAAACGGGCGUCAUGUAU